GACGAACGCUGGCGGCGUGCUUAACACAUGCAAGUCGAACGCGCCUGUCCUCUGGUUUUCUGGGGGGUGGGUGAGUGGCGAGCGGGUGAGUAACACGUGAGUAACCUGCCCCCUUCUUCGGGAUAACGGUCUGAAAGGGCUGCUAAUACCGGGUAUUCACUGGUCUCCGCAUGGGGUCUGGUGGAAAGGUUUUUUUCUGGUGGGGGAUGGGCUCGCGGCCUAUCAGCUUGUUGGUGGGUUGAUGGCCCACCAAGGCUUUGACGGGUAGCCGGCCUGAGAGGGUGACCGGUAACAUUGGGAGUGAGAUAGGGACCAGACUCCUACGGGAGGCAGCAGUGGGGAAUAUUGCAGAAUGGGCGGAAGAAUGGUGCGGCGACGCAGCGUGAGGGAUGGAGGGCUUCGGGUUGGGAACCUCUUUCGAAAGUGGUCAAGCCGGGACGUGGGUCGUGGUGAGGGUAGUGGGUAAAGAAGCGCCGGCUAACUACGUG
rnacentral:rRNA from 1 species